ACGCUCGACACCUACAGGAGGCAGCAGUUGGGAAUAUUGGACAAUGGAGGAAACUCUGAUCCAGUGACGCCGCGUGAAGGAAGAAGGUCUUCGGAUUGUAAACUUAUUUUGUCAGGGAAGAAAAAUGACUGUACCUGAAGAAAAAGCACCGGCUAACUACGCGCCAGCAGCCGCGGUAAUCUGAGCGGGCUGGCAAGGC
rnacentral:rRNA from 1 species